CAUCGUCGUCCUCGUCGUUCGGCAAGAAUUCGGGAAAAAUAUCUAUCUCCGCCUUGCAACUUUGGCUUGGCGGCAGAAUCCGGAACUGGUGUUGGGCCGCAUUGGCUGUUCCUAUUUCGGAUACAGUUGGCGGCGGAACCAAAAUUGAAGUGUUGUGAGAAUCGAAAGCUUUCCACAAACGAGGUGGUUAGGAUUUGCAUCGGUUUGCUACAGAUAAUACCAGCACAAGAACCGGAAGGCAUCGAGAAGGAACCCCCGCAGAAAGUGACCAUCUUCAGAGAUAGUAUUGCCUGAAUAGAAAAAGCUUGAGAAGGAACUGGCAAAGCUGAAGAACCAAUAGCCAAGCCGAGCAGCGCAAGCUUGACGAAGCAUUCAGGCAAGUCUCUCUGACCCGUCGCCAAGGUGGUCAAAACGGAAAAAUAGUCCCGACAGGAAAAGCCCAGGGUCACCUUCCGGAUGAAGAAUCGUCUCCGAUGCUCAAGCUGAAAGCCCGCGUACGCCUCGAGUUAGACUUCACGAUGGAACCGCCUGAACAACAUAAGAUCAAGAGCAACCACGACUCUCUGGAGGAACCGCGACGCCGUGAAGGAUCUUAUCCAUCGAGUGACCCUCACGAAGAAGCUCAAUAAGAGGCUACCAACGCAAGACGCAUCCGGCUGCAACAUGUCAAGAAUGCUGUGAAGGAGAAGUCGUGUUUACAUGGCAUGAUCUCCAUGAAGAUUUUUUU